rnacentral:rRNA from 1 species
CAGUCGCCGCGGGAAUACGUAGGGUGCGAGCGUUAAUCGGAAUUACUGGGCGUAAAGCGUGCGCAGGCGGUUAUAUAAGUCAGAUGUGAAAUCCCCGGGCUCAACCUGGGAACUGCAUUUGAGACUGUAUGGCUAGAGUGUGUCAGAGGGGGGUAGAAUUCCACGUGUAGCAGUGAAAUGCGUAGAUAUGUGGAGGAAUACCGAUGGCGAAGGCAGCCCCCUGGGAUAACACUGACGCUCAUGCACGAAAGCGUGGGGAGCAAACAGGAUUAGAUACCCGGGUAGUCCCUGUCUCUUAUAA